rnacentral:rRNA from 1 species
UACGUAGGGUGCGAGCGUUGUCCGGAAUUAUUGGGCGUAAAGGGCGCGUAGGCGGGGAGGUAAGUCGAGUGUGAAAUCCCUCGGCCCAACCGAGGAACUGCGCCCGAGACUGCUUCUCUUGAGUCCCGGAGAGGAAGGUGGAAUUCCCGGUGUAGCGGUGAAAUGUGUAGAGAUCGGGAGGAACACCGGUGGCGAAGGCGGCCUUCUGGACGGUGACUGACGCUGAGGCGCGAAAGCGUGGGGAGCAAACGGG